GCAGUCUGUAAGUGCUUAAUCUGCAUGUAACUUUACGCUCGUACCGGACAGCUGCCACACUCUGGACUCGGACUGAGCCGAACUGUCGUUCCUGUGAUGCCCCAGGGCGGGUUGAGCUGCUCGGGGUUGCGAUGCCUUAUGUGGACCGACAGAAUCGCAUCUGCGGCUUCCUGGACAUCGAGGAAAAUGAGAGCAGCGGAAGGUUCCUGCGCCGAUACUUCAUCCUGGACACCAAACAGGGAAACCUGCUGUGGUUCAUGGACAACCCACAGAAUCUGCCUAAAGGUGCAGAGAAGGUGGGAUCUCUCAAACUUACCUACAUCUCAAAGGUAAGUC